GCUAAUCUAUAACACCUGAAUGCGCCUGAUCUCAUCUGAUCUCAGAAGCUAAGCAGGGUCGGGCCUGGUUAGUACUUGGAUGGGACACCAAAAAUACUUCGUAGUACCU
rnacentral:rRNA from 1 species